AAAGGCGUCUGUGUAUUUAUAAAAUUAUGAAAUCGUGAAAUUAUACAUUUUCCCACGUUUUUUUCCCACUUUAGUGCUUUUAUUUUAAAAAUGGUGUCGAAAAUAUGAAAAGGCCCUCUUUAAAGUACCAUCUUGACAACUUGAGCUCUCAGGAUGUUGCUACACGUAAAAACUGGAGCAAGUUUACUAGGAAAAAACGUGUUCACAGAC